GGGGACGUCCUGGUUUCGACGGGGUCGUCAAGGGUCGGAUAGCGAGUAGAGGGUUCCGUUGGCCUCUUUAAAAAACGGAGAUCUAAAUUUAAACGCAAACGAUAAUUUUGCACUUCAGGCUGCCUAAGCGCAGCUUGCGCCGCCCCGCGGGUUCCUCAAGCCUUCGGCAAGCGGUGUCAGCAAUUUGAGCCCUGCGGAUUUAAGGGUCAACUCCGCCAACCACACGCGCAAAGCUUUGAGCCCGUGCGGAUCCCAUGAAGCUACCGGGACAUUAAGCCCGCCGUUCGGCGCAUUGCCCCGGAAAAUCUAAACAUACGGCUACACUCGUAGAAGUCGGGCUUGAGGCGGUUUCGGACAGGGGUUCGACACCCCUCGUCUCCACCA
rnacentral:tmRNA from 1 species